CAGCUCUGUGACAUCACGGAGCCUCUUGUCUACUCUGCCAACCGUGGCAGCCCAUCAAGACCUGGCUUCAAAGAUGCUCUGCUCAUGCUUCAGGGACUGAGGACCCCACGUCGCUGAUGACCCCAAGGUUCCCAGCCCAGAGAACCAGCCAUUGAGCAGCAGUUUGCAGCUGCAGAAGGAAGAGCUCAACAGACCAAAUUCCAGGCACACUGGCGUAAGAUGCCUGAAUCAUCUAGCAAAGAGUACUCCCUCCAGCAGCAGUGCGCAUGAGGAUCUGGAUGCAGUAACAUCUCGCAGAGGAAUUUAUGAGAAAUUUAAACUGCUACUACCAGGAGUGCUGCCUGGCCCUUCCAGCCCUGCCUCAUCAGGCGACACUGACAUUCUCGUCAAUGGCACCGCACAGGUCUCUGGCUGCACAGAUGCACAGGCUCUCCGCGAGAAAGAGGGCAGUGGACAGGAGUCAUGAAGACUGAUUCAGAAACUCCCCACAGGUGGAGAAGACAUCAGAGCCACUCCUGUGUCACCUGCUUGUGUCCCCCAGCUCCUGUCCCCUGCUUGUGUCCCCCCGCAGCCAGAGCAGGAAGAGCUGCCUCCAAGUAAAGUCCUUGU